UAUCACUCAAAGGCAUUGAAAUUCUAGUUUGAUCCAAAUUUUGGGGGGAUAUGUGACAUGUCCACCCCCCUUUUUGCAAUAUUUUAUGGUAAAUAAAUGCAGAAUGUUGCCAUGGAUACACAUAACAGGAAUUAAUUUUCACUCUUUUAACUUUUGAAAAUCAAAUCUAUGGACUAUACUGAUUACAUACAUAUGCACAUGUACAACACAAACAGUUAGG
rnacentral:lncRNA from 1 species